UUCUAUGGCGGGCCGGGCGGGGCAGCCUUCGGGCUGGCCGGAUCUUGUGACGCCGGUUUUCCACCCCCGCUGCGGGCCCGCCACCCUC
rnacentral:antisense_RNA from 1 species